CCUACGGGUGGCAGCAGUGAGGAAUAUUGGUCAAUGGACGAGAGUCUGAACCAGCCAAGUAGCGUGAAGGAUGACUGCCCUAUGGGUUGUAAACUUCUUUUAUAAAGGAAUAAAACGAGGCACGUGUGCCUUUUUGCAUGUACUUUAUGAAUAAGGAUCGGCUAACUCCGUGCCAGCAGCCGCGGUAAUACGGAGGAUCCGAGCGUUAUCCGGAUUUAUUGGGUUUAAAGGGAGCGUAGAUGGGUUGUUAAGUCAGUUGUGAAAGUUUGCGGCGCAACCGUAAAAUUGCAAUUGAUACUGGCAGUCGUGAGUACAGUUGGGGUAGGCGGAAUUCGUGGUGUAGCGGUGAAAUGCUUAGAUAUCACGAAGAACCCCGAUUGCGAAGGCAGCUUACUAAACUGUGACUGACAUUGAUGCUCGAAAGUGUGGGUAUCAAACAGGAUUAGAUACCCGGGUAGUC
rnacentral:rRNA from 1 species